AUUGACCAGACGAAACGCGAUGCCGGGGUCAGAGAGCGGGCGCGCAAUGGGAUUGCUGGCAGCAGUGGAAAGGCGAAGGGCUCCCUCCUACCGUAUUCUCGCGGAUUGUGGGGAGGGGGGACGUGAUGUGUAAGUUGCUGAACGUCAAAGAUGGCCCUUGCACCAGAAAGGCGCUGCUUUGAGCUGUACUGGAAUUUAGGCUGAGUUUUGCACAGUUUUCCCAGCUGGAUUCUACAUUCACGUUCCAGGUCACUCUCUGAGAUGGGCACAUCAUGGACCUACCAAAGGUGAAGAAAGCAACAAGGACAAGUUUAGGUGUGAGGCCCAAGGAGGAAAAUAGGAAUUUAGAAUUACUUGCAUUACAGUAAAUGGACUUCUAAGAAAGGAAGGGUGAAACCUGUCGGGAUCGGGGUCCGUAUGUGGCCAUAAAUUCCUUCUUUUAUGGCUCUUAUGACUUCAAUAAGUGGCAUUCCUAAAUUGGGCUGCAAACUCCCUGAAAAAAAAUUCUCAUUUGGAGGAGCAAAAUAAUUAAAAGCGGGUACAUAAAGUUUCGCUUAAAUUUAAGACACUAGGAAUAACAAGCAGCAGCCCAGCAAUACAAUAAAAUCAAAACCCCUACCUUGGAAUGGGACCUAGGCCCUUGAGUGAAGUUACUUCUUUGCUUAAUAUCACUCAAGGGCAGCUCUCAGCUCUCGAAUUUCCCCACCUCCGCGACAGAGAUGAGGAAAGGGCAUUGGUGAAUGUUGCAGGCUUAUAGCUGGUCUCUGUGUAUGAUAGAUUGGGACUGCUGGAUAGAUUUCUGGGUGCCUAGCAGCCAAUCAGUGAAGUCUCCCAUGGGUAAACUGAGGUUUACAACCUCCUGAUUACUUUAAAAAAAAUGCCUCUGGAAUUCAGUGGCAAAAUAGCAAGGCACUUUUCAGCAACAACCACCACCAUAAAAAGGCCAAAAUAAAGGAGAGAAGCCAAAUUCUAUGUGUUGGAUACUUACAAAGCCCUAUAUAACAUGACACAGAAUUAAAUCACAAAAUUGAUUCUACUCAUUAGAGCCAUGCUUCUUACUACCCCUUGAGAGCCACUACCAUAUACAUAGGAAGUAUAUGGGACUUGGAUCAGGUGGCUGACUUUUUCUGCAGUGGCCCCUGACUUAUGAAAUACACUUUUUCUGGACAUGUAUAUGUAGCAUCUCCCUCCUUGCAUUCUGCAAACCAGCAGAAUCUUUUUCUUAUUCUAUCAUGUUUUGGUCCUAAUUGGCUGUUUGACGACAUUUAUCUUGGUAUUUUAAUGUGCUGUAUUGGUUCUGUUUCUAUCUAAUUGUAAACUGCCCAAGUCUUAUAAUGUGAAAGUCAAUAAAUAUUGCAAACAAA